CGGAUUGCAGUCUGCAACUCGACUGCAUGAAGCUGGAAUCGCUAGUAAUCGCGAAUCAGAAUGUCGCGGUGAAUACGUUCCCGGGCCUUGUACACACCGCCCGUCACACCAUGGGAGUUGGAAGCACCCGAAGUCGGUGACCUGACCGAAAGGGAGGAGCCGCCGAAGGUGAAGCCAGCGACUGGGGUGAAGUCGUAACAAGGUACC
rnacentral:rRNA from 1 species